rnacentral:rRNA from 1 species
CCUACGGGAGGCAGCAGUGGGGAAUCUUGCGCAAUGGGCGAAAGCCUGACGCAGCAACGCCGCGUGCGGGAUGAAUGCCUUCGGGUUGUAAACCGCUUUCAGCAGGGACGAAAAUGACGGUACCUGCAGAAGAAGCCCCGGCUAACUACGUGCCAGCAGCCGCGGUAAUACGUAGGGGGCAAGCGUUGUCCGGAUUUAUUGGGCGUAAAGAGCUCGUAGGCGGUUCCGUAAGUCGAGUGUGAAAAAUCUGGGCUCAACCCAGUGGAGCACUCGAUACUGCGGUGACUAGAGUACGGUAGAGGAGUGUGGAAUUCCUGGUGUAGCGGUGAAAUGCGCAGAUAUCAGGAGGAACACCAACGGCGAAGGCAGCACUCUGGGCCGGUACUGACGCUGAGGAGCGAAAGCGUGGGGAGCAAACAGGAUUAGAUACCCUGGUAGUCCACGCCGUAAACGUUGGGCACUAGGUGUGGGAGGGAAUCAACCCCUUCCGUGCCGUAGCUAACGCAUUAAGUGCCCCGCCUGGGGAGUACGGCCGCAAGGCUAAAACGCAAAGGAAUUGACGGCNGAGAGNGCGAGACGACGACGAGGAGAG